GUGGGCAGCAGUGAUAGUGAUGUACAGAAUCCUGGGACUAGCGCCAGCGACCCUGUGGAUACCCUGGGUGGUCCAGGAGAGCUUCUGAAAAGAGCAUGAAAAAGCAGGCCUCCUGAACUCCCAUGAGCAACUGAUGCAAGGCACAUCCUACACCCUUCACCACAUGGUGGAGAAGAUCUUUAGGAGCAAAGAACAAAUGAUAUGAAUGACCACACUGACUGUCAGCAAACUGCAGAGCUGCUUAACCAAGAAAUAGCGAGACUGA
rnacentral:lncRNA from 1 species